GGCUCUGUGGUGAAAUUCAUGUUGAGUUGCAAGCUCAUCGAUGUACAUUAAGGUGUACCGGGGCCU
rnacentral:tRNA from 1 species